rnacentral:tRNA from 1 species
GGGAUCCUAGAUUAAUUAGGUAAAUCAUUCGCUUUGCAUGUGAAUAAUAUCGGUUCAAAUCCGAUGGAUUCCA